rnacentral:rRNA from 1 species
AUUGAACGCUGGCGGCAGGCCUAACACAUGCAAGUCGAACGAGUGGCGGACGGGUGAGUAAUGUCUGGGAAACUGCCCGAUGGAGGGGGAUAACUACUGGAAACGGUAGCUAAUACCGCAUACCAUCGGAGGUGACCACAUGGGAUGAGCUAGGAGGUGGGGUAAGGGCUCACCUAGGGGACGAUCCCUAGCUGGGCUGAGAGGAUGACCAGCAACACUGGAACUGAGACACGGUCCAGACUCCUACGGGAGGCAGAAGUGGGGAAUAUUGAACAAUGGGCGCAAGCCUGAUGCAGCCAUGCAGCGUGUAUGAAGAAGUCCUUCGGGUUGUAAAGUACUUUCAGCGAGGAGGCGUUACUCGCAGAAGAAGCACCGGCUAACGCCGUGCCAGCCGCCGCGGUAAUAC